rnacentral:rRNA from 1 species
UACGAAGGGGGCUAGCGUUGCUCGGAAUCACUGGGCGUAAAGGGUGCGUAGGCGGGUCUUUAAGUCAGGGGUGAAAUCCUGGAGCUCAACUCCAGAACUGCCUUUGAUACUGAGGAUCUUGAGUUCGGGAGAGGUGAGUGGAACUGCGAGUGUAGAGGUGAAAUUCGUAGAUAUUCGCAAGAACACCAGUGGCGAAGGCGGCUCUCUGGACCGAGACUGACGCUGAGGCGCGAAAGCGUGGGGAGCAAACAGG